GACGAACGCUGGCGGCGUGCUUAACACAUGCAAGUCGAACGGAAAGGCCUGCUUUCCCUUGUGGAUUGCGGGUACUCGAGUGGCGAACGGGUGAGUAACACGUGAGUGAUCUGCCCCCAACUUGGGUAUAAGCCUGGGAAACUGGGUCUAAUUCCCGAUAGGACUGCAGGGUGGUGCCUGUGGUGGAAAACGAUUUUCUAGUGGUUGGGGGUGAGCUCGCGGCCUAUCAGCUUGUUGGUGGGGUAAUGGCCUACCAAGGCGGCGACGGGUAGCCGGCCUGAGAGGGUGGACGGCCACAGUGGGACUGAGAUACGGCCCAGACUCCUACGGGAGGCAGCAGUGGGGAAUAUUGCACAAUGGGCGGAAGCCUGAUGCAGCGACGCCGCGUGGGGGAUGACGGCCUUCGGGUUGUAAACUCCUUUCGACCGCGAGGAAGCCACCUGGUUGGAAGGGUGGUGACGGUAGUGGUAGAAGAAGCACCGGCUAACUACGUG
rnacentral:rRNA from 1 species